rnacentral:rRNA from 1 species
CAGCAGCAGCCGCGGUAAUACGAAGGGGGCUAGCGUUGUUCGGAUUUACUGGGCGUAAAGGGUGCGUAGGCGGAUUGUUAAGUCAGGGGUGAAAUCCCGAGGCUCAACCUCGGAACUGCCUUUGAUACUGGCGAUCUUGAGUCCGGGAGAGGUGAGUGGAACUGCGAGUGUAGAGGUGAAAUUCGUAGAUAUUCGCAAGAACUCCGGUGGCGAAGGCGGCUCACUGGCCCGGAACUGACGCUGAGGCGCGAAAGCGUGGGGAGCAAACAGGAUUAGAUACCCCAGUAGUCCCUGUCUCUUAUAC